UUGAUCAUGGCUCAGAAUCACCGCUGGNCNUAGUGCCUAACACAUGCAAGUCGAACGAGAAAGCAGGGGCAACUUUGCGAGUAAAGUGGCAGACGGGUGAGUAACACGUGAACAACCUACCCUUGAGUGGGAAUAACCCCGCGAAAGCGGGGCUAAUACCGCAUAACAUCCCCUGACCGCAUGGUCUAGGGAUCAAAGGCUUCGGUCGCUUGAGGAGGGGUUCGCGCCUGAUUAGCUUGUUGGUGAGGUAAAGGCUCACCAAAGGCUACGAUCAGUA
rnacentral:rRNA from 1 species